rnacentral:misc_RNA from 1 species
GGGUCGUGGUCCGAGGGCCCUCGAUGGUGCCCGUCGGCAUGGGUUCCUGGCAUGCGCCGUUGGGGCCGAGCGGUCCGCGACGUUCAGCGCCGUGCGUCUCCGUCCACCACUCGCCGCGUCCGACACGACCGGCGGCUCGCACUUCGACCCGCCGCACCGCGAGGCACGGGGGGCCAAUCUCCGCAUCCGCGCCCGCCGCCACCCGAGUGGGGAGGGGGCACGCGGAGCGACGUGAGGCGUGACGCCCAGGCAGGCGUGCCCUCGGCCGGAUAGCCUCGGGCGCAACUUGCGUUCAAAAACUCGAUGGUUCACGGGAUUCUGCAAUUCACACCAAGUAUCGCAUUUCGCUACGUUCUUCAUCGAUGCGAGAGCCAAGAUAUCCGUUGCCGAGAGUCGUACAAGUUUAUGGUAUAUAGGUGGAUCGCCUCGAGCGCCUUCCCCGCCUGGGCAGGUUGGGUGCACGACGCCCUCCGGUAUGACUCUUCCUUGGCGCCCAUCGCGCCGGGGUCUUGUUUGGCGCCGCCCGCCCCGCAAGGAUGCGAGACGAGGACAGCCUGGGGGGGCUCCGCGCAGAGGCCGGCAAGGGCGGCGGACGCCGCCCCCUCCGACCCCCACGGGUGCGUUGACCGGUUCGCAAUCGUCCGUUCGGGCCUCGACAAUGAUCCUUCCGCAGGUUCACCUACGGAAACCUUG